rnacentral:rRNA from 1 species
UACGGGGGGAGCAAGCGUUGUUCGGAUUUACUGGGCGUAAAGGGCGCGUAGGCGGCGCGACAAGUCACUUGUGAAAUCUCUGGGCUCAACCCAGAACGGUCAAGUGAUACUGUCGUGCUAGAGUGCGGAAGGGGCAACUGGAAUUCUUGGUGUAGCGGUGAAAUGCGUAGAUAUCGUAAGGAAGACCAGUGGCGAAGGCGGGUCUCUGGACAGUUCCUGACGCUGAGGCACGAAGGCCAGGGGAGCAAACGGG